rnacentral:rRNA from 1 species
ACCAUGAGGGCUCAACUGUCUCCUAAGGCCUAGCAAUGAAAUUGAGAGUUCAGUACAAACGCUGAAAUACGCACAUAAGACGAAAAGACCCUGUGGAACUUCAAUUAUUAUACUAGCAACAACCUAACUACAAUAUCUGUUUUCCCUAGUAAAAUUUUCAGUUGGGGCAACUACGGAGUAAAAUAAAACCUCCGCGAAGCACGACUAACCAUCUAACCUAAGGCUGCCCCGCCACCCUAAUAUUUUUUGAUCCGGAACAUCCGAUUAACGAACUAAGCUACCCCAGGGAUAACAGCGCCAUCCCCCUGAAGAGUCCUUAUCGAAAGGGGGGUUUACGACCUCGAUGUUGGAUCAGGACACCCAGGUGGUGCAACCGCUACCAAAGGCUCGUUUGUUCAACGAAUAAUGUCCU